UACGUAGGGCGCGAGCGUUGUCCGGAAUUAUUGGGCGUAAAGAGCUCGUAGGCGGCCUGUUGCGUCCGCUGUGAAAUCCCUGGGCUCAACCCAGGGCCUGCAUCGGAAACUGUCGGGCUUGAGUAUGGGAGAGGUGAGUGGAAUUUCCGGUGUAGCGGUGAAAUGCGUAGAUAUCGGAAGGAACACCUGUGGCGAAAGCGGCUCACUGGACCAUUACUGACGCUGAGGCACGAAAGCUAGGGGAGCAAACAGG
rnacentral:rRNA from 1 species